rnacentral:snRNA from 1 species
UCCGCUUCUCGGCCUUUUGGCUAAGAUCAAGUGUGUAGUAAUCUGUUCUUAUCAGUUUAAUAUCUGAUACGUCCCCUAUCUGGGACCAUAUAUUAAAAUGGAUUUUUGGAACAGGGAGAUGGAAAAGAGCUUGCUCUGUCCACUCCACGCAUCGACCUGGUAUUGCAGUACCUCCAGGACCGGUGCACCUCUC